GCGGCGGUAGUUUAAUGGUAAAACAGCGUUCUUCCCAGUCUGCCGAUGCGGGUCCGAAUCCCGUCCGCCGCUCCA
rnacentral:tRNA from 1 species